UGAAGAGUUUGAUCCUGGCUCAGAUUGAACGCUGGCGGCAUGCCUUACACAUGCAAGUCGAACGGCAGCACGGGGGCAACCCUGGUGGCGAGUGGCGAACGGGUGAGUAAUACAUCGGAACGUGUCCUGUAGUGGGGGAUAGCCCGGCGAAAGCCGGAUUAAUACCGCAUACGCUCUACGGAGGAAAGGGGGGGAUCUUAGGACCUCCCGCUACAGGGGCGGCCGAUGGCAGAUUAGCUAGUUGGUGGGGUAAAGGCCUACCAAGGCGACGAUCCUUAGCUGGUCU
rnacentral:rRNA from 15 species